UGACUUUUCAACAAACUUUCUUCGUUCGGACCUCUGUGUCAAUUAUUGGAGUUAACCAGCUUUGAAAUCCGUUGAUGGCAGAUCUUGGCUCCGAAAUUUCGUGUCACCCAUACUGAUAUUUCUUUUCGAAAAGUUUUCAACACGAUGUCUUCGCCCGAUCAGUCUUCUGUCGCAGGUUCCGGCAACUUGAACGUUACGGAGAUAAACGAUACCGUUAUACCGGUUGUUGUCGAGAGCCUCAAAAACUUCGUGGACUUCCUGGUCCAAAAACAACCUGACAGCAACGUUGGCAACAACGGCAGCAGCCAUUCUAGCCCGGUCGACUAUAAGAAAAUGGGUAACGAAGUGGAGAAGUUAAGGAAAGAUCUGAUUUACAUAGGAGAAUCCUUCAAGAAUCUCAAGGGCUUCGAGGACAGAUCCAGUGACCUCUUCAAACUUCUUAAAGAACGCAGCUCCUUCAACAAUUUGCAAGACAAGCAGCUCCAAGACAAGAAGCUCCAAGCCAAGCUUAGCGCCAUCAACAAGAUUGUGAUCGAGUUGAAGCUCCGGAUCCCGUUACCCCAUAAGUUGUCCUCCGACGCCCACCGGUUCACACGGGGUGCCACCGAGUUUGAUGACUCGGAGGGGGUUGAUGAAUUGCCUGUCCUACAUGUUGACGAGGAAUUUGGGAAUAGCUUGGCUUUCCGAGACUUCCGGUUAGUAUAUGAUAAAUUGCCCAACUCCAGAAUAAAGUUGUGCUUGCUGUGUUUUGCUUUAAUUCCGGAAAAUGAGAUUGUGAAGAAGAGGUUUAUGACAUAUUGGUGGGUUGGAGAAGGAUUUAUUAGCCCACAGGGUGAGAAAGCUGAUGAUGGAACCGACACCUUCUUGUCGGUUGAGGAAGUUGCUGAUAGAAUCUUCAAAGAGCUGGCGAACAAGGACUGCAUUGAGCCCGUAAAUGAGAAGCACAGGUUUGUCGUGGACAGUUAUAAGAUGAAUCCUUUCAUCCGUUCGGCGGUGAUUUUGCUUGCCAAAAAAGCUAGGUUCUUUGAUUUUGAUGACAAAAAAUGGAAUCCCAGUGCCAAUUUUAAGACGUCUUACCGGGCGUGUUUAGUCGAUGGAUUUUCUCAGGAGUUGGUGAAAAGUGGAUCUGAAUCGGUUACAGAGAAAAGUGGAUCUGAAUCGAUUACAGAGAAAAGUGGCUCCGAAUCCGUUACAGAGAAAGAGAAAAGGAACGCUGGAUUGGAUCCAGAGAAACUGCAAACAAUAUUCAAUGUCAAUGAGCCUUAUCCUGACUUCUUCAAAUCGGAGUGGUUCUCAAAGUUGAAGACUAUCAAGGUUCUUUAUCUGGGAAGGUGGCAGACCUCAGCUAAGCAUCAUAUUGAAGUAGAGAGCGUUGAGUUCUUAAAAGGGUUGAAAAGUAUGAAACUCCUAAGGUUUUUCAGCCUUCAAGGAAUUUCUAGAAUUACCAAGCUUCCUGAUUCCCUAUGUAAGCUCUUAAAUUUGAGGAUCUUGGAUCUUAGAGCGUGUCACAGUCUAGAGGAACUUCCAGAUGGAAUAGGUUCACUCGUGAAUCUGACACACUUGGAUAUAUCUGAGUGUUACUUGCUCGAUUACAUUCCCAAAAAGAUUAAGUCUCUCUCAAAACUUCGAGUCCUUAAAGGGUUUGUAAUUGGUGACCGUCUAAGUGAAGAUUCGUGUACUCUUGCUGAUAUGUUAGACUUGAAGGAGCUGAGGAAAUUGAGCAUCUACACAAACACGAAGGCUUUCCCCAAUGCCGAAGACGUAAUCAAUCUUCAAAAGUUUAAAAAUCUUGAGAAACUUACAAUUGAGUGGGGAGCUUUUCCCACCAAUACAGACAGCGAUCCUCAGCAAGACAAGGGUGAAGAACAACCAAUGACACCAGCCACCACAAGUUCAAAGAAGAGGGGAGAUAAGAAAAAGCAAGACAAGGAUGUGGCACAACCAAUUGCAGAAGCCACCAAGAGUCCAAAGAAGAGUGGAGAUAAAAAUAAGCAAGGCGAGAGUGUGGCACAACCAAUUUCAGCAACUAACACGAGUCCUAUGAACCGUGGAAAUAACCAAAUGCAAGACAAGGGUGCGGCACAACCAAGCACCACAACUCCAAAGAACUCUGGGGGUAAGAAAAAUCAAGACAGGGGUGUAGCGGAACCAAUGGCAGGAAACACCAUGAAUCCAGAGAAUAGUGGAGAUAACAAAAAGAAGGAAAGGGGACCAGCAGCAUAUGCUAAGACUUUGUCAAAAAAAUUCACCUUUAAGCAAGGAAAGCUGGGACCAACAGAUCUCGAAGGCUUUAAGAAACUAAAGAAACUGGAUCUCAAGUGUUACCCUUGGAUGGAAGCACCCAGAUGGUUGCUGCCUGAAAAACUUCCGGACAUAGAGAAACUCUACAUCAGAGGAGGGAACCUCCAAAAUCUAAGUCCAGGUCAGGAGAAUGACAAGUGGAAAGUUAACAUACUACGUCUGAAGUUCUUGAGUAAUUUAAAGAUGGAUUGGAAAAAACUCCUGUCAUCAUUUCCAGACUUGAUUUACUUAGAGACAUACAAAUGCCCCAAACUCACUUUCUUUCCAUGUAAUGAGAACGGAAUCAGGCUGGAGCCAAGAACUGUUGAUGGAAGGAAGGCAGCCGAGAGAUAUAACAUUGUGCAUUAACUCGACUUGCAGUAGCUUCUUGUAUAUCUCCAUCCCUCCUUAUUUGGAACUAUGUGCAAAGAGUUGAAUGUUGAUCCCUAGAGUUGAAGUCUAUUGCAAGCAACUGCCCAAACUUGUGGAUGGAUAAUUUGGAAGAUACUCUUUGUGACUUUGGUUGCCUAUAGUUUUCUAUUAAUUGUAAUACAGUGAAUCUGGAGAUUUAUUUUCACUGUUUGGUUGUGUUAGUUUAUUAUUGUUGGUGUUGGUUGGAUAUUGGAGUUCAUAGACUUUAGAUGUGUUGGAUCCAAGCUUGCUCUUGAGGACACGACUAUGAGAGAACUUUAAUAUUUGGAAUAAAUUGUGUUUGGCAUUGAAUAUAAA